AACAUCGCGCACCUGCGGGAACCUGCGGAGGGAUCAUUACAAGUGACCCCGGUCUAACCACCGGGAUGUUCAUAACCCUUUGUUGUCCGACUCUGUUGCCUCCGGGGCGACCCUGCCUUCGGGCGGGGGCUCCGGGUGGACACUUCAAACUCUUGCGUAACUUUGCAGUCUGAGUAAACUUAAUUAAUAAAUUAAAACUUUUAACAAUGGAUCU
rnacentral:misc_RNA from 1 species